UUCUCAUAGCUGUGAGGAACUCUGCAGAGGCAAGCCACGUCUCCAUGUCUCUCACUCUUGUCUCCUGUCUUUCAGAAUGCAGGCUGUGCGGUUGAAAUACAGAGAUCAUCAGGAGUACAUCUGUUAUGAGGCACAACUGACCUUUAAAUCCUUUUUGGAUUGUGUUGCCAGGAAAUUUGACCUUCCAACCUUGGACUUAAAGGUUUAUGAUGAAUCAAACACUGAAGUUGACGAGGAGGUGUUUGAGUUUCUUUUAAAGAAACAAGACAUCGGUGUCCUGGAGUGAUGAUCGAAGGCUUUCUGAAGAACAAACUGGAGGAGAGAGGAUCAUGAAUGAGUAUGCUCGGGCAAAAAGUCUAACGGAUAGCAGAAGACGCGAUAUGGUCAAGAUUCUUGAAUCACCUCUGUGUCACUGAAGGUUGGGCUGAGGCUACAGUGAACCAGGUGAAGUACAGUACUGGAAACAUUUGAAUAAUACAAUUUGUAAGGAAUGAAAUUGGAAUGGGAUUAUAGAGGACAAUUGUCAGACCUAAUAGCCAUCCCCACAGAGUUUCCAUGCAUUGUUUCUUAUAUCAUCAGUGACAAUGUCAUAGUUGUUCACAGGAGACAAAUUCAGAUAAGAAAGCUGGCUAACCACAGCCUUUGCUGUCAGGCCAUUGCACUGAUGAAGCAGUUGUAAAGGAGAAGAUGAAGCAGACAUUCGCCUAUCGCCAACAGAUGGUUCUGGACCCAGUGAAGUCCUCUGAAAUAUUCGCAGCGUUUCAAAGAUUCUUGGACAUAGCAGGAAUGGUAUGUGAAUCGUGUCAGUUUGUUUUCUGUACUACAAUAGUCUGGAUAUGGCUGUUAUAUCUGUCAAAAGUUCCACACCAUAACAUUUACUAUUCUGUCUUGACUUAUGCUAUCCUGUGUACAGAUUGAGCAGGAUUUCAGUCUGAUGCUGCCUCUGCAAAGUUACUGGAGAAGUGGCCUAAUGUUUACAAGCAGAAAGUCCUUGAACAAAGCCGUGGUCUCGCACAGACAGGCGAGCUUUAAGACCUGGUUCAAAAUGCCGAAUCCACAUUGGAAAUAGAAAAUGGUAAUGGUUCCAUACUAAAACAGUUCUUGUGUUACAGACUGGGACCAGCAUCCAGGGGCAUCUGGACAGCAUCAUGGAAAGCCUUCAACCCUAUCUGCUUGCUGUGGGGACCAAGAAGAGUGUGAUUCACAAGCUCUUCAUGUGAUUGACAAACAUGCAAUACCUUCCCCUUUCUCAAUUCUCCCCUGUGUCCCUGAUGGAGCUGUUCAUCUUCACGGAAGGAAUGAGAAGCUCCACCUGCAUCCUGGACCCCAUCCCAUUCAAUCUUGUCAAGGACUGUCUCCCAGCCACCGCAGCGGCCCCUGCCAAAUUUCUCAGGGGAGGACAAUUGUUGCGAUGAUGGCUAAGGUUGCCUGUUUAAUGGAUGACCGGUCUCGACAUUGAGAAGGACCAGAUCAUUGAAAUGGCAUGAAUUAUUACUGACUCAGACCUGAACAUUUUGGCUGGGGGGCCCAACUUGAUAAUUAAACAGCAGGAUGAGUUGCUUGAUGGGAUGUCCGACUGGUGUAAAGAGCAUCAUGGAAAGUAGGUGGAAGCAGGUGGAAGACUUGGGGAAGUUGCUCUCCACCACAUCAACAUCCAAGUGUCUGGGAAGCACACUCCAUCCAACCCAGAACUGCAGGAGUUUCCCAAGGAAGUUUGGAGAUGCUACCAAAAACAGAACACUGCGUUAAGGCUAAGGCAGGUUUUGUUAUACUUUCUACAGAUACAGUUACCUCAUGCAGAAGAGCACAAAUGAGACAAAUUUGAAACUCAAUGAUCAUUGAUCCAAAGUGUAUUUAGCAUUUGAACAUAUUCCCAGUAACAUCUUCAGAGUGCACUGUUGCUAUCAGCAAAUAAUUUGACAGAAAUUGUUGAUUCAGGACAUUUUUUUUAAGUAAUGUAAUGCAAAUAUUAAUUUACCGUUCUCAAUAAAUUUGCGAAGGAAUCCUGUGAUCCUAAAGGUGUCCUCCAAAGAGACAUCACUGUCCUCAUCCUCAUCCUGCGUUGGCCACUUUAUGUUGUCCAAGACCAUCUGAGAGAUACAGUUGGGAUACAAGUGUUAAAAACAGUUAACACUUGUUUUUUCAAGCAGUCCAGAGUGUAUAUAUAGCACAAUAAAGUACAGCACAGGAAAUAUAAGAAGUUAUUCAUUCUAAUAAUUACAAUUGUUAUUUGAUCAGUAUGUGGUGGUAAGCAGUUUUGGAAGGGCCAUACUGGUGGUUUUGCAUGUGUAAGAUGACCAUGAUGAGUACUCUGCAUUCCUGUUGAGAGUUUUCAAAAUCAUAAUUUUUUGGAUUGAUUUCCUUCCUUUCAGGCAGCCGUUGUUGUUUCUGUGAAAAUUAACUCGCAGAGACUUCAGAACAACUCUCUUUGUGCACAGCUUGCUUAUCCAAUGAUAAAGUACAUUUGUAAGAGGGAACAAACACGGACUGAUUAUUCAUCUUCAAAAUAUUUCAUAUCUCUCCAGGUUAUUUUUGGUGUAAUAAACUGAAACCAGUGGUUGCCAGAAGGUAGAAAAUAAAACACGUUUAAGAUAGUAACUUCUGAGUUAGUAGUGUUUGUGCAGAAAGAUACUGUACGAUUAGUAGCAGCCUGAGUUCACUUACCCGUGGUGUGUACUCUGAAUCUGACGCUCUUGGAAAGAGAAGAGGAAUUGUGUCUUUCCUCUGUCAGCAAAGGCCACACCAGUGUCUCUUUUAAACCCUUUCGUAACUGUUUGACUUGUUUCGAGGUUCUUCCUAGGACCUGCAAAAUAUUUGUAUCACAACAGAAAAGUCAUGAAGCCUUACUAAUCUUCAACCGAUUGCCAUAUAAGCUAUCAUUAAUUUCUCAUCAACAAACAUCUGGGAGGUAUCUGACAAAAAGAAGGCCAAAUUUCAGUCUUUCAUCAAAACUCUUGAUUAGUUAGUGUGAUUUAUAUGAAGUCUUAAGUACAGAAUACUCACAGCAUGGAGUAGCAUUUUGUCAAGCAGCCAUCUCCUGUUUUCACAUGUGACUGGAGGCAAAUACCAGGACAGUGCCAACUCAUUGAUAAUGCUCUUUUCUUCAGAUGAUAACUCUGCUGUGUCAUCCAGCUAAUGAAAAUUUGAAUCGAUUCGAUUUCUGGAUUUCUCAAGAUUAAUAUUCCGUACAUCAAUCAUCAAAGUUGUCAAAUCAAACCACAUCAAACAUUUCAAUUUUAUAAAAAUUUCAUGUGGUCAGCAUGGUAGUAGUUUAUAACAUGGUAAAACUGUUGGUUUAGUACUCCCUGCUGGUGAAAAUAUUAACUGUAUGAUGUGAUUGUGGAAGAAUCCAAACAUUGACCUACUGAAUUAAGUUUUUUUUCUUAUUUAAUUAAUUUAUAUUUAAGCAUUUGUUAAUCAUUUCUUCCUGACUGAAAAUAUUAUUUUCAUUGUCCUAGCCCUAGUUAUUUUAAAAUCUUAUUGACAAAAUAUGUAUCGUACCACUUUGAUUAUCUCACGGAUAUCAUUGUCAGCACAGUCCUUAAUAUCUAUAGUGGCUUCUUCUGGGGAUCCACCAAAGAGCACAUGCAGGAUUGCUGGGCUCAGUCCACCCAGGCAUGGCCCAUCAUGCAGAAAUGAAUCGUCCAGCAACAACAAAUAAGUCACUCUCCAAAAGGAUAUGGGAAGUGGAGGGUAUCAGAUGAUAAUUUUCACCCUCAAAGAAUGGAAAAGUCAAAUCACAUAGAUUUUCAACUGGCAUACAGCAAUAGUAAAGGGAUUGUCAAUCAGCCACUGGAUAACCUGGUUGACUUUAUCCUGCAGAAACUUACAGGUUAAAAAAAGCUACAUUCACGUUCUUGGGGUGAUCUGGUUUCAGCCUGGAACCAGUAAAACCCAAACAGAACCAUGCACUGACAGACAACGGAAUGUUACCUUAACAAAGCAACAAAAGAAGGAGCUGCUAACACAUCUACAGUGGUCGAAUCUGGAGUGUGUCAUAAAACACAAGUGAAAUAUAUGAGAUAGUGAAAAUUAUAAUUUGUACUUCCCGAAAUGCAUCUCAAAACCAUGCUGAAGUUUAGACAUGAUGGUUGCAAAGAAAUGGCGAGUCACACCAUCGCCAAUUGCUGCAUCUCCUGAAAAAGCAAAACACACAGCACAGACUUCAGUUAACAGGAAAUAGGAUUUGAUCAUUUGUAAGUAAGUUAGUAAGUUGUAUGUUACCAAUACCCUUAAGGGUGCAUGUCAAGGGGCAGGCCCACUCAACAUUAGCCAUCUUAUAAAAAGAAAGGAUUGCCCUUUCCCUGUCCUCUGCACUGUCUCCAAGAUCCAUAGUAAGACUCAGUGCUUUCCUGGUUGCAUGCUGACUCAAAAUGUCUUCUUUGAAUGUCCUUGCUGCCUCUUUGGAAUUGGUGGCAAUUUUCCAAUCUAAAAAUAGAUUUACAAAUUUUCAAAUUAAUAUUGGGUCAAUUGAUAUGUGAGCGCAACUAUUCAUUGAAAUAUUUUAUGUAAUGUUCAAAAUAUGUAACAAACCAGAGAAGCUUCUCUCCUCAAUGGGAUCAAGAUCAAUUAUCUCUGGAGCAGGCACAUCUCCCUGAGGUGGCACUGAGUAGGUUGAGCUGCUGGCCCUCGCCGGCUCACUCUCCUGUCGUCUCCUCAACGUGCGCACAAAUAUACCUUCACUUCGGGAGGAGCUGGCCCUUUCUGUGCCUACCUCAGUCUCUCCCUCACCACUGCUCUGUGGUGGUCUUGGGUAAAAAUAGGUCAUUUUUGUUAUUAGGGUUAGUAUGUUUUGAAUUGUGUAACAUGAUUACAAAAACACUGCAAACUGGUGAAAAAUAUUAAAAUCAAACUUUUUCUUAA